rnacentral:rRNA from 1 species
CCAAUAGCGUAUAUUAAAGUUGUUGCAGUUAAAAAGCUCGUAGUUGAAUUUCGGGGUUCUACCGUUGGUCGGGCUUUGUCUGUACUGGCGUGUGGAAUUUCUACCUUCUGGGGAACCAUCAUGUUAUUAAUUUAACGUGGUGGGAAACCAGGACCUUUACCUUGAAAAAAUUAGAGUGUUCAAAGCAGGCUUAUGUCUGAAUACAUUAGCAUGGAAUAAUAAAAUAGGACGGUGGUCCUGUUUUGUUGGUUUCUGAAUCACCGUAAUGAUUAAUAGGGAUAGUUGGGGGCAUUAGUAUUCAAUUGUCAGAGGUGAAAUUCUUGGAUUUAUUGAAGACUAACUUCUGCGAAAGCAUUUGCCAAGGAUGUUUUCAUUAAUCAAGAACGAAAGUGAGGGGAUCGAAGACGAUCAGAUACCGUCGUAGUCUUAACCAUAAACUAUGCCGACUAGGGAUCGGACGAUGUUAAUUUUUCUUGACUCGUUCGGCGCCUUACG